rnacentral:rRNA from 1 species
UACGGGGGGGGCAAGCGUUGUUCGGAAUUACUGGGCGUAAAGGGCUCGUAGGCGGCCAACUAAGUCGGAUGUGAAAUCCCCAGGCUUAACCUGGGAACUGCAUCCGAUACUGGAUGGCUUGAAUCCGGGAGAGGGAUGCAGAAUUCCAGGUGUAGCGGUGAAAUGCGUAGAUAUCUGGAGGAAUACCGGUGGCGAAGGCGGCAUCCUGGACCGGCAUUGACGCUGAUGAGCGAAAGCUAGGGGAGCAAC